rnacentral:rRNA from 1 species
UCAGUAACGGCGAGUGAAGCGGCAACAGCUCAAAUUUGAAAGCUGGCCCCCCCGGGGGUCCGCGUUGUAAUUUGUAGAGGAUGAUUCGGCGAGGGCUCCCGCCUAAGUCCCCUGGAACGGGGCGUCAUAGAGGGUGAGAAUCCCGUAUGCGGUGGGCUGCCUUAGCCAUGUGAAUCUCCUUCGACGAGUCGAGUUGUUUGGGAAUGCAGCUCUAAAUGGGAGGUAAAUUUCUUCUAAAGCUAAAUACCGGCCAGAGACCGAUAGCGCACAAGUAGAGUGAUCGAAAGAUGAAAAGCACUUUGGAAAGAGAGUUAAAAAGUACGUGAAAUUGUUGAAAGGGAAGCGCUUGCAGCCAGACUUGUCCGCAGUUGCUCAGCCGGUCUCCUGACCGGCGCACUCUUCUGCGGCCAGGCCAGCAUCAGUUCGGGCGGUCGGAUAAAGGCCCCGGGAACGUAGCUCCUCUCGGGGAGUGUUAUAGCCCGGGGUGGAAUGCGGCCAGCCUGGACUGAGGAUCUCGCUUCGGCUAGGAUGCUGGCGUAAUGGCUGUAAGCGGCCCGUCUUGAAACACGGACCAAGGAGUCUAACAUCUAUGCGAGUGUUUGGGUGUCAAACCCAUGCGCGUAAUGAAAGUGAACGGAGGUGGGAACCCUCGCGGGUGCACCAUCGACCGAUCCUGAUGUCUUCGGAUGGAUUUGAGUAAGAGCAUAGCUGUUGGGACCCGAAAGAUGGUGAACUAUGCCUGAAUAGGGUGAAGCCAGAGGAAACUCUGGUGGAGGCUCGCAGCGGUUCUGACGUGCAAAUCGAUCGUCAAAUUUG